GUAGGUGAACCUGCGGAAGGAUCAUUAAAUAAUUUAGAUGGCCUCCUAGAACUUGUUCUAGUUAGGUUCAUUCUUUUUUACUGUGAACUGUUUUAAUUUUCAGCGUUUGAGGAAUGUCUUUUAGUCAUAGGGAUAGACUAUUAGAAUGUUAACCGAGCUGAAGUCAGGUUUAGACCUGGUAUCCUAUUAAUUAUUUACCAAAAGAAUUCAGUAUUAUUAUUGUAACAUAAGCGUAAAAAACUUAUAAAACAACUUUUAACAACGGAUCUCUUGGUUCUC
rnacentral:misc_RNA from 1 species